rnacentral:rRNA from 1 species
UACGAAGGACCCGAGCGUUAUCCGGAUUUAUUGGGUUUAAAGGGUGCGUAGGCGGACACGCAAGUCAGUGGUGAAAUCCCUCAGCUUAACUGAGGAACUGCCAUUGAAACUAUGUGUCUUGAGUACAUUUGAGGCGGGCGGAAUGUGUCAUGUAGAGGUGAAAUUCUUAGAUAUGACACAGAACACCAAUUGCGAAGGCAGCUCGCUAAACUGUAACUGACGCUGAGGCACGAAAGCGUGGGGAGCGAACAGG